rnacentral:siRNA from 1 species
CUGUACCGGAGCGUCGAAGUUCA